GCACCUCUGGAUACUCUCUCUCUCUCUCUCUCUCUCAUAACGCAGCGAAUCGGUAGGCACUUGUUGUCACCGCGCGAAUUCUUCGACCUUUCGUCGGAUUCUUGCCCAGAAGCACUCUACGAUUUUUUUCUGGUUUCCUUUUCGUUCUGAGUAUAUCUUGAUCAAAAUCCUUACUUUUCGUGUCUUCUGUUCCCCACAGGGAACCAACUUGUCUGCCAUAACAGAGCUCAACCACCAGAGCGUGGGCAGCAUUGUUUGUGAUGAUCCCUAUGGUACAUUUACAGCGAACAAGCGAUGGGCAUAUAAUCUGCUAAAGUUCUGGGAUGUGGUAGAUAUAGAAGAGAUCUUAAUGGAAGUCUGGUGUAGCUUCAGUGAAUGUAGCUUUAGUGAAGCCCUCAAUAGCAGGUCAAGCUAAACCCUGAAGAAGCCAUCUGGGAUUGGGGCUGUCCCUUUUGAUUGCAAAUAAGACCUCUUUAGCUUAAAGGGGAAUAACAUCUGUACUAAGCUAAUGUCUUACCUCUUCAUAAAUGACAGAAUCAGCUUGAGCCCUUGGAAGAAACCUGAAUGCCAAGCAAAUUUUGGUAGAAAGAGAUACACUCUACGGCUACAUUUGCCUCAUCGAUUAGUUUGACUCCUCAAGAGUGAACAUGAAAGUAUUAUAGUGUCUCUUAAUGCCUUAAUAGAGAGAAGAGUGUAUUCGUGUUAAGCAUUUUUUGUCCCAUUGAUUACAACUCAAUAUUGUCAGUAAAGCACUGCUACAUAACAAGUAUAUGGAUGGGCAACUUGGUCUUCUCUGAUGAUUAACACAGUGAUGGAGGUUGCAGCUUGUGAUGGACCACCUGGAGCUGAAGGCAUGAAAGACCAAAGAAGAGCAUCUCUUUCCAUGGGACAAAGGGGACAAGGCAUGAAAAGAACCACUGACCUGGGGUUGAUGGAUGGAGGAAGACAAGUGGCACAGCAGAGCCUCUACUUAAUCUUGUCAUUCUCAGAUCAUGAUCUCUUCUUCUUGGAAAGGAAGCCUCCUCCUUGUUGGUCACAGGGACCACGAGACGACGACGACACUACUACGGAAUGGAAGGCAACAGGCAGGUUCGUAGAUUCUUCUUCUACUUUAAGCACAGCAGAGGAAUGAAGACUUGCUACCAAAUUAUUAGUAAAGUUCAUGGCACUAAAAACGUUAGUGUCAGCAUGUUUAACAAAUAACUGUUGUAUCAGUUUUAGAUUGAUAACAAAAACAACAGAAGUAACAGCAACAAUAAUGACAUGAUGAUCAUAUUAGUCUAGCUUAAUAGUUUUCUUUGUUAUCAAUAAAAACCAUGCUUUCAUGUAUGAUAUAAUCAAAUAAAGUAGUGAAAAGAUAAUAAGAAUGCUUAUACUAAAGCAAACUCGAAGCUCGAAUAUAGUCAAUCAUGCUCUAAGCUUGUACAAAGUUAAUAAUGGAUAACAACUAGCAAACAAGAUCUUCCUGAUCUGUUUAUCUCAAUGACUCUUGUAUCAAGGUAUCAUUCCUGCUCUUUGUUUUAGCUUCCAGCUUUCUUUCAUGGUAAUAACUUCUGGUCAUGGAAGAUAAGAUUUGCAGAGGCAUCUUAAGGUGGCAAGCUAAGGCCAACAACUAAUCCAUCUGCUUAUAACCAUGUCUAUCUUCACAAUAAUGAUAGACACCACUUAAGCGCAGUUUACAAUGUUUAUUUCCCUUCUGCUAUAGUGAUUACAGUGAGGACCUAGACUGAAUAAGUCAUGAAAGACUUGUUUUGACUGUUUGACACUUGAGCUGCAUGAUUAAUUUCUUGAGGCAAUCAAAGGAAUAGAGUGCUGGCCAUGAUUAACAGAUCAAAAAAUUACUUAGCCAGCAUAAUGAAGGAUGAUUCAGUUGACAUUUAAUGCACAGUAAGAGUUCAACAGCUUUGUGGAAAUCCAAUUCAAACUUGGUGACUUAGUGAGGAAACAAACAAACAGAGCUGCAGAUCUCACUACUGCAUGAGGCAUUAACUAGCAACAUCCCUGUAUUUGUCCUUAUAUGUGUCUCAAUCUUAAGUUAGAUCAUAGUGUCAUUGCAAGUGUUGAACUCAGGAGGAAUACAUGCAUUACAACAGAUCAGCUUCAAUGGAUAAAAAUAUAGAAAUCCAUAUAUAUAGAUAUAGCCAUAUGUAGCUAUAGAAGAUCAAUGAGAUGUUAACAAUGUGAGUUGGUAGACAACCAUGCAACUUAGAAAUAGGACAAGUAUAUCUUCACCUCAAAAUAGGCCACAAGCCCUAUCCAAGGCAAUAUAAAACAAUGUCUUGCCUUUGUUUUCAUAUGGUAGUUUCCUUUAGCUCUGGUUUCUGUAACUCCAAAGAGGAGCUAGCUAAUAUGAUGUUCCUUCUCACAAAGAAGGAACAUACAAAAGCAGCUAUAUAAUGAUUUUUUUCACUUUUCUUUUCUGAGGGAAAAUGGACUAGCAUAUGUACUAACUGUUUCUGGCACA